AAGCCAGGGCUUCGCAUGAUGAUUGUUCAAGCACAGCUGGUGAGGGUCUUGGAAAUGCCAUAGAUACAUAGCAUUUAUAUGGUGCCUUUCAUCUUAAGCACUUUACAAAUUGCAUAGAUUCACAUUAGUUGGCUACUACUAAAACGUGGUGAUACAGGAAGGGGAUGAAAAAAUUGAGCAGCUGCUGAUACUCAUACUUAUUACUUUGAUGAGGCAGCAAAUAAAUAUAAAAUGCUUUGUAGUAGAGAGCAUCAAAGGAUUUUUUUUGAAAGGGUUGGUUGUAAUUAUCCAUAUUAGAAUUCAGCCACUACUUCAGGAGUUAUGCUCCUGUGCUCAAGUGUUAGAUAUUUCAAUUACAUGUCUCUCUCAUACACCAUACAUCUCAAAAUGUGAGGAGAGUAUCCCAAGUGAAUUGUUGCUUCUCUCUGACACACACACACACACACACACACACACACACCCUUUCUACAUAUGUAUUUAUUGCCCUUAGUUCUACAUAUAACUUGUCAAUCUGUGAACACAUGUGCCUAUUUCCUUGAGGAGUGUACAGGCCCUCACACACCAAAAAAUAAAUAACAGAUAACAUUCAAUUCACAUGCUAAACACACAGACUUGUACACCCACCCACCUGGUUUACAUAAUCACCUGUUGUUGUUGUUGUUGUUGUUGUUGUUUGGAGGUAUAAAUCAAAUGGGCCACUUGUACUGUCCCCACGUGGUAGACUACUUCAGCUGUGUGUUAGGAAGGAAGCUUGUUACUGCCUAUUACAACACCCACAUAAGACUCAAACACUUUUUCUGGGGGCUGUUGAAAGAAGUUGUGCUGACUAAUAAAGAAAUUGAGGGAUUUUAUUUCCAUAGGAUUGCUGCUGGGUCUUGUUGCCUUACUUUAGGUAUUUUUGUGAAAGCUUAAACAAACUGUGGGGAGUCAUUUUGGACUCACAGCUGUCCAUGGAGGCGCAGGUCAGUUCUGUGUCCAGGACAACUGUCUGUCAGCUCCAUCUGGUAUGCAGGCUGAGACCCUACCUGCCCGCAGACUGUCUCGCCAGAGUGGUGCAUGCUCUAGUUAUCUCCCGCUUGGACUACUGCAAUGCACUCUACGUGGCGCUACCUUUGAAGGUGACCUGGAAAGUACAACUAAUCCAGAAUGUGGCAGGUAGUCUGGUGAAGAAGUGUCAUUUAUCCUAUUUCUGCUCCUGAAACUAAGGCCCCUUAUGGAAUUAGAAGGCUCCUGUUCCAGAAUGUCUAGAGCUGUGAAAAGAAGCAAGGCUCAAUUGUUUCUUUAUAGAGAUAAUUAUCUAGUCACAAAACAAAAUGUGUAAUCUAAACAGUGAGGGCUGUUUAAGUAGCAAGACAAACUUAUCUUUGGUUUCUUGGACAUCUGAAAUGGUUGGAAUGAAAUCCUCAUAAAAAAUUCUCUGUAAUAAUUGUAGCUGCACUAUUAAUCUGAAAACCACUAUAGUAAUAUUCCCCAUGUUAAUGAUAAAGCACAGUGUUUUGAAUUAAAUGUAAAUUGAACACACUCAUCAAAUUACAGCAUUAGUAAGUAACUUUAUCCAAGAGACAGCAUGCAGUUCUGAAUGUAGGAGAAUGGACUUCUCAGUUAUGUAUGUCACUCCUUUGUUGUCUUUGAAUGUAAACAGCAUUUCCGUGAGCUCUGGCUUCUGUCAUGGUAUUCCGUUGCGCCAGAAGCAGUUUAGUCAUGCUGGCCACAUGACCUGGAAAGCUGUCUGUGGACAAAUGCCAGCUCUCUCGGCCUGAAUGCCACACCCCAUAGUCACCUUUGACUGGACUUAACUGUCCAGGGGUCCUUUACCUUCACCUUUUACCUUUGAAUAUACCCACACCAAGGCUGCAUGUGGAUCAUUUUAAGCCUGAAAAUCAUAUGACUUAAUGGGACAAACCAGGGUUACAAAAAAAUGUGCUCACUUUGCAUGGUUAGUGUUAGUGUUGUAGCUGAGUUUUGCUCUCUGGCUUACAGCUUGUGGUUUGUCUUGGGGAGAUACAUUUGACUCUGGGCUCAUGGUUUAAUGCUUAGCUCACAGCACCAGGAGUGGAGGAGCAAAGCAGCCACAGUGUUCACCCUGAGAACCUGUGCCGUAGUGUUUGUUCACAAUAAGCCAUGAUUUGGCUUAGUGUUAUGUGCUAACAGGGCCUUUGUUACGGAUGCUGAGACUUGUUAGGAGACUCCUUUUCUCUUCACAGAGCUCCAGUUCUCUGACUGGUUUGACAGCCAAUGCUUCUUCCUGGGGAAAUCUGGGAAAUAAAGUUCUGUGAGGGGCACAGGUCUUCUAACAACUCUCAGCAAACAUAAGACUGUGAAGAAACUUAAGACUGUGAGAGGACCGUGACCAUCUACAGUGCUUCACUAAACAAAUAAACAAGAAGUGGCAUCAAAACACUGCAGCAAUGCAUAGAGGUAUAGGUCUUCACACCAUGGCAACAGAAUAAAUCAGUAACUAGGGGUGGAGUUAUGGCAACCAUGGAAUAUGACAAAGAGAGACAUGACUGUCUGCACCGCUGCCCUUUACCCCACUUUUAGCACAGUGGUGGCCCUGCCAUUACACACACUGAUAUGAGUUUGGGUAUCAUGAAAGGGGCAACAAACUGUUUAUUUCUAAAUCUUGAUCUUCUCUUACAUAAUAUGUAUAUUAUGUAUAAUAUGUAUAAUAAAGCCACAACAAUGAAACAAUGAAAAAGAUAGGUCAAGAGAAAACAGUAUCCCCACCACCUUAAAAAAAUAAACUACUACUAAAUCAGAUUGUGCUAUUGUUGGAGACAGAAUAUCAAUUAAUACAAAAGAAUAUCAAUCUGGUUGGUGCUGGAUCAUAAACAUACUUCUGUUCUUUGAGCUCCCUAUUGUAUAAUUUAAUUAUAGCUGCUGUAAUUGGCUUAAAUCCAGUGUCAUUUCUCACAGUAUGCUCCUUUCACUGUUAAGUGGAACUGGAAUGCCAAAACAAAAAUGGAAUCCCUUUGAAAGAGAGCUGAUGAGUAUCAUGCAGUAUUAGUGAUGUGACACCUUAACCUCAUAAAAUAUACUUUUACUUCUAUCACUUGGCUGUGAAAUUUUGUCCCUUCAAGGUGACUUCCUCAAUGUUCUUAUUCCCCACCCCCCAGCUGUAGCUAGGAUAGCUUAGUUGAUAAUGAAUAUGCAGAAAUCACCUAUGCAAAUGCUGUUUUGAAUCUUUGUUAGAACAUAAAUAUAUUUUGCACUUUUGAAAAUAAUUCUGACAGAUGAUAAGAAAAGUAUGACUGUGUGCAUUAGUAUUUUCAAGAAUUCUGUAUUUUAAUUUAUGUACCUCAUACUUUUUGUUUUUGUCUUCCACAAUCUUAAAGUACAAAGCUUGACAAAAGGGGGAAAUAAGAGGAAGGGCAGAGGUGGAAAAGGCAUGAAAUAUGACCAAAUAAAUUUACAGAGGUGGAAGAGGCAUGAAUCAUGGCCAAAUACAUUGACAGAAGGGGAUUCAAAGUAAGCAAAGAACAGGAAAGUAUGAAGUUGACCAUUGUCAAGAGAAUGGUCACUUGGGAAGUUAUAGUCAGGUUGUUCAGGAAAAGACAACCUUGCCAAAAGCUAGAGGGGAAGGAAUAAAAGACCAGAUGUGAUUCAGGAGAAAACUAAUAAAUCACACUGACAUGACAGGUGCAUGCUAUUUACUCACUGGUGAUACCAUUUUUUAAAAUGGGUAGCUCUACCUAUGAUUCCCCCAAGAGAUGAUUUGACUAGGGUUAAAAAUUGCAGUUACUUAUCCCAGUUUAGCUACUUCUUAAUGUCUUUGUAUUUGAAAGUUUGGUUUAGAAAUACAGUUGAAAGCUGCAUUUGAAAGUUUGGUAAGGUAAAUGCUUAAAAUCUAGUCAAUAAUGGCAAUGGUAAUCUAAUAGAGAAAACUGCAUGCAAGUUUUGAUUUUGCUGUCAAAGUAUCACAAACAAGAUUUUCUCUGGUAUUAAUAUUGCGUU